AUUGAACGCUGGCGGCAGGCUUAACACAUGCAAGUCGAGCGAGCGGCGGACGGGUGAGUAAUGUCCGGGAAACUGCCUGAUGGAGGGGGAUAACUACUGGAAACGGUAGCUAAUACCGCAUACCAUCAGAUGUGCCCAGAUGGGAUUAGCUCGUAGGUGGGGUAAUGGCUCACCUAGGCGACGAUCUCUAGCUGGUCUGAGAGGAUGACCAGCAACACUGGAAAGGAGACACGGUCCAUACUCCUACGGGAGGAAGCAGUGGGAAAUAUGGCAGAAGGGGCGCAAGCCUGAUGCAGACAUGCCGAGUGUGUGAAGAAGGCCUUCGGGUUGUAAAGCACUUUCAGCGAGGAGGCGUUACUCGCAGAAGAAGCACCGGCUAACGCCGUGCCAGCAGCCGCGGUAAUUC
rnacentral:rRNA from 1 species